rnacentral:rRNA from 1 species
CCUACGUGAGGCAGCAGUGAGGAAUAUUGGUCAAUGGGCGCGAGCCUGAACCAGCCAAGUAGCGUACAGGAUGACUGCCCUACGGGUUGUAACCUUCUUUUAUCAAGGAAUACAGUGAGGCACGUGUGCCUUUUUGUCUGUACUUUAUGAAUAAGGAUCGGCCAACUCCGUGCCAGCAGCCGCGGUAAUACGGAGGAUCCGAGCGUUAUCCGGAUUUAUUGGGUGUAAAGGGAGCGUAGAUGGGUUGUUAAGUCAGUUGUGAAAGUUUGAGGCUCAACCGUAAAAUUGCAAUUGAUACUGGCAGUCUUGAGUACAGUUGAGGUAGGCGGAAUUCGUGGUGUAGCGGUGAAAUGCUUAGAUAUCACGAAGAACCCCGAUUGCGAAGGCAGCUUACUAAACUGUGACUGACAUUGAUGCUCGAAAGUGUGGGUAUCAAACAGGAUUAGAUACCCUUGUAGUC